AAAAAAAAUUGUUAAAAAAAAAACAAAAAUCUCUGUCCAAAUGAAAACGCAAAAACACAAUUGAAGCGCUGUA